CCCUAUUGCUAUCGGGAUGAUACUAAGCCAUGCUAGUUGUGCGCUUCCUAGCUAUGUUGGAAGAGCAGCAAACGGCUCCGUAACACGUAGUUAAUCUGCCCUUAGGACAGACAUAACCUUGGGAAACUGAGGCUAAUAUCUGAUAGGUGGAAACGCCUGGAAUGGUCUUCCGCUUAAAGGUUUUUGGACACACGCGUCCAAGAAUGCCUAAGGAUGAGACUGCGGCCGAUCAGGCUGUUGGUGGGGUAACGGCUCACCAAACCUAUAACCGGUACGGGCCCUGAGAGGGGGAGCCCGGAGAUGGGAACUGAGACAAGGUCCCAGGCCCUACGGGGCGCAGCAGGCGCGAAAUCUCCACAAUGCGCGAAAGCGUGAUGGGGUUAUCCCGAGUGCCGUCCGUUGAGGAGGGCUUUUCCCCAGUGUAAGGAGCUGGGGGAAUAAAGGGGGGGCAAGACUGGUGUCAGCCGCCGCGGUAAUACCAGCCCCCUGAGUUAUAGGGACGAUUAUUUAGCCUAAAGCGUUCGUAGCCGGCUUAACAAGUCUUUCGUUAAAUCUAACGACUCAAUCGUUAGGCCGCGGAAGAUACUGCUAGGCUUGAGGGCGGGAGAGGUCGACGGUAGUCCCGGGGUAGGGGUGAAAUCCAAUAAUCCCGGGAGGACCACCAGUGGCGAAGGCGGUCGACCAGAACGCGCCUGACGGUGAUGGACGAAAGCUGGGGGAGCGAACCGGAUUAGACACCCGGGUAGUCCCAGCUGUAAACGAUGCGAGCUAGGUGUUGGGGUAGCCACGAGCUGUUCCAGUGCCGCAGAGAAGUUGUUAAGCUCGCCGCUUGGGGAGUACGGCCGCAAGGUUGAAACUUAAAGGAAUUGGCGGGGGAGCACCGCCAAGGGGUGAAGCCUGCGGUUU
rnacentral:rRNA from 1 species